CGGGAGCGAGGAAGACGGGUAAAUCCGCUGCGCUUGGAACGCAGAGAGCACUGGGUUCGACUCCCAGGCUCCCGACCA
rnacentral:tRNA from 1 species